GUCUACAGCCACGCCACCCUGAACGUGCCCGAUCUCGUCUGAUCUCAGGAGCUAAGCAGGGUCGGGCCUGGUUAGCACUUGGAUAGGAGACCACCUAGGAAGACCAAGUGCUGUAGACA
rnacentral:rRNA from 1 species